rnacentral:tRNA from 2 species
UGGAAUGUUGCUCAGUGGUAGAGCACUUGCCUAGCAUGUGUGGUGUCCUGGGUUCAAUCUCCAGCUUUCUAG